CACGUAGGGUGCGAGCGUUGUCCGGAAUUAUUGGGCGUAAAGAGCUCGUAGGCGGUGUGUCGCGUCGGCCGUGAAAACCUGCAGCUUAACUGUGGGCUUGCGGUCGAUACGGGCAUCACUGGAGUUCGGCAGGGGAGACUGGAAUUCCUGGUGUAGCGGUGAAAUGCACAGAUAUCAGGAGGAACACCGGUGGCGAAGGCGGGUCUCUGGGCCGAUACUGACGCUGAGGAGCGAAAGCAUGGGUAGCGAACAGG
rnacentral:rRNA from 1 species